UCGCGCGAUUGGAGCGGCCGAUAUCAGAUUAGGGUAGUUGGGUGAGGUAAAGGCUCACCAAGCCGACGAUCUGUAGCUGGUCUGAGAGGACGACCAGCCACACUGGGACUGAGACACGGCCCAGACUCCUACGGGAGGCAGCAGUGGGAAUUUUGGACAAUGGGCGCAAGCCUGAUCCAGCAAUGCCGCGUGCAGGAUGAAGGCCUUCGGGUUGUAACUGCUUUGUACGGAACGAAACGGUGAGCUCUAAUACAGUUUGCUAAUGACGGUACCGUAAGAAUAAGCACCGGCUAACUACGUG
rnacentral:rRNA from 1 species